GCCUGGCUGGCUCAGUUGGCAGAGCAUGUGACUCUUGAUCUCAGGGUCAUGAGUUCAAGCCCCACACUGGGUG
rnacentral:tRNA from 1 species